AAGCCGGAAUCGCUAGUAAUCGCAGAUCAGCAUGCUGCGGUGAAUACGUUCCCGGGUCUUGUACACACCGCCCGUCACACCAUGGGAGCCGGGAAUGCCCGAAGUCAGCGGCCCAACCGAAAGGGGGAGCUGCCGAAGGCAGGCCUGGUGACUGGGGUGAAGUCGUAACAAGGUAGC
rnacentral:rRNA from 1 species